AUUGAACGCUGGCGGCAGGCCUAACACAUGCAAGUCGAGCGGUAGAGAGAAGCUUGCUUCUCUUGAGAGCGGCGGACGGGUGAGUAAUGCCUAGGAAUCUGCCUGGUAGUGGGGGAUAACGUUCGGAAACGGACGCUAAUACCGCAUACGUCCUACGGGAGAAAGCAGGGGACCUUCGGGCCUUGCGCUAUCAGAUGAGCCUAGGUCGGAUUAGCUAGUUGGUGGGGUAAUGGCUCACCAAGGCGACGAUCCGUAACUGGUCUGAGAGGAUGAUCAGUCACACUGGAACUGAGACACGGUCCAGACUCCUACGGGAGGCAGCAGUGGGGAAUAUUGGACAAUGGGCGAAAGCCUGAUCCAGCCAUGCCGCGUGUGUGAAGAAGGUCUUCGGAUUGUAAAGCACUUUAAGUUGGGAGGAAGGGCAGUAAAUUAAUACUUUGCUGUUUUGACGUUACCGACAGAAUAAGCACCGGCUAACUCUGUGCCAGCC
rnacentral:rRNA from 1 species